rnacentral:lncRNA from 1 species
GUCGUGAGGUGGGGAGCAGCCCCCCGGGGACGGGGGGGGAUGCUGGGGGGGGCACGGCCACCCUGGCUGGAGAAGUCAGGGGGCACCGUGACCCUUGCAGAGCUGGGGGUCCCGUGGGGCUGCCCCUGCGCAAGGGCUGGGGUCAGGUUGACCCACGGAGGGACCAUGAGGGUGGCAGAGGGGUGAACACCCCCCAGUCCCCUCAGCACCCAGCCCUGGACUGGCAGCUGGGCCUGACCCCCGCGAUGGCCUGGGGGGCUGCGUCCCCUCGGGGUGGCUGGGCCCAUGUUCAUUCAGUGCAUCCAUGUGGKUGCMCCCRUSUCCRUGYSSSYGYSYCCSUSUSSGUGYMYCCAUGUCCGUGUCCCCGUGUCCAUGCCCCUGUGUCCAUGCCCCCAUGUCCGUGUUGGUGCACCCAUGUCCAUGCCCCCAUGUCCAUGUGGGUGCAUCUGUGUCCAUAUCAUGUCCCGGUGUUCCCGGCCCGGCUCUGGUCGGAGCCAGCACCAUCUCCCCCCACCCAGGCUCUCGUCUCRCUGUUUCUGGCCGGCUCUGGACGACCCCGCUUGGGAGGAGGGUGCUGGGGUCCCCUUCGGGGCCAGAGAUGCAGCAGUGCUUUUCCCGGCACCGCCUGUGGAUGAACAGCCCCUUGAGGAAGAUCCAGCAGAAGUUCUUCCUGUUGGCACCUCUGGGCCCGUUCUUGAACCUGGGGAGAAACGUCACCUUUUCCAGCAGCUGCAGCUCGUGCCGCUCUGCCCCAGGACAAGCCUGCACCGCUGUGUCAUGUCCUGGGGCUCCUGGUGACCCUGGACAUCUCCAGGACCCCCAGAGCUGCUGGUCUCCAACUCCCGGUGGGAGCCCCAGCCUCAGGAGGGGACAGGCAGGAGCACGUGGCCCGGGGGGGUUGUGGCCCCUGGGAGCGGGGUGGGAGCCUCCGCAGGUGGCAGAGGAAGCCCCUUACCAUGCAGCCAGCACCAGGGCUUGCGGGUGACGUUGUAGGACAGGCCCAGCCAGUGGGGCAGGGACAACCGGAGCGGCAGGUCGGCGAUCUCCCCAUGCCGCCGCAUCCGUAUUUUGAUGAACUCCAGCGGGAGGGAGGUGGGCGGUGAGCGGGGACCCCCACACCCCCCCCCAGCACCCCUCCGCAGCCCUGCCAGGCAGGGUGCCACRAGGCCGCAGUGCAGGAGUCCUGCUGCGGUGGCCCCGUGGGACCGACCAAGGCACCCACGUCCCCUUUGGGCUCCUAGACGUCUUUUCCCCAGCGCCGAGUCCUUGAGCUUGGYGUUCUGCGCACGCAGCGUCGCCGCCCGCUUCCUCGGGACCAAGGGGGUGAAGAAAUCUGAAAGGCACGGGGCGGGGGGGACGGGGACGCAGCGGGCUGCCACCCCUCGAGGCCGAGGUGGGGCUGAGCCCCGUGGGGGGCAGCCCCACGGCUUGUGCCCCCCACCCUGCUGGUGGGAG